AGGAGCUGACCCCCUGGUGGAGAGGCAAGCACGGCUUCCAGGUGGGAUUUUUCCCUGGCGAGUGUGUGGAACUGAUUACUAACAAAGUUCCUGAGGCUCUCGUCAACUCAGUGCCAAAGCCAGGUACA